GCCAUGCUGUGAAGCCCAGGCCACAUGGAGAGACCUGUAACCCUACGAGCCUCCAAUCAAGAACCACUCAGCUAAGCCUAAUCAAUCUCAAAACUUCCUCAAAUGAAUAAAGUUAUUUUCUUGGUGCACAUUGCCUCAGGAGGAGAGUAAUAAAUCUUCUAUCUUGAUAGAGCUCAGUACAUGCUUUCCUGGGGUCAGCAGGAAGAAAGAUGGCUCACUGUACAGGAGGGGCUGAGGAGGACACUGGAGAGCAGUAAAAAGGAGGACAGCCCUCAGGCUACUGGGGAAAUUAUGUCAACAACUUCUCCUCUCUUCCGUGGUCAUAGCUUGCUUCUGCAAGAA